rnacentral:misc_RNA from 1 species
AACCUAGCACACCUGCGGUGUGUACCUGCGGAAGGAUCAUUACCGAGUUUACAAACUCCCAACCCUUUGUGAACCUUACCAUAUUGUUGCUUCGGCGGGACCGCCCCGGCGCCUUCGGGCCCGGAACCAGGCGCCCGCCGGAGGCCCCAAACUCUUAUGUCUUUAGUGGUUUUCUCCUCUGAGUGACACAUAAACAAAUAAAUAAAAACUUUCAACAAUGGAUCUCAGAUCGGAAGAGCA